AGAGAACUCGGGUGAAGGAACUAGGCAAAAUUGUACCGUAACUUCGGGAGAAGGUACGCCGCUGACGGUGACGAGACUUGCUCUCUGAGCUAUUGGCGGUCGCAGUGAAAAGGCCCCUGCAACUGUUUAUUAAAAACACAGCACUCUGCAAACGCGUAAGCGGACGUAUAGGGUGUGACGCCUGCCCGGUGCCGGAAGGUUAAUUGAUGGGGUUAGCUUCGGCGAAGCUCUUGAUCGAAGCCCCGGUAAACGGCGGCCGUAACUAUAACGGUCCUAAGGUAGCGAAAUUCCUUGUCGGGUAAGUUCCGACCUGCACGAAUGGCGUAAUGAUGGGGGCGCUGUCUCCACCCGAGACUCAGUGAAAUCGAAAUCGCAGUGAAGAUGCUGUGUACCCGCGGCUAGACGGAAAGACCCCGUGAACCUUUACUAUAGCUUCACAGUGGACUUUGAACCUGCUUGUGUAGGAUAGCUGGGAGACUUUGAAGCGGUGACGCUAGUCAUCGUGGAGUCGUCCUUGAAAUACCAGCCUGGCAUGUUUGAGGUUCUAACCUAGGUCCAUUAUCUGGAUCGGGGACAUUGUGUGGUGGGUAGUUUGACUGGGGCGGUCUCCUCCCAAAGAGUAACGGAGGAGCACAAAGGUACCCUCAGCACGGUCGGACAUCGUGCAACGAGCGUAAAGGUAGAAGGGUGCUUGACUGCGAGACCUACAAGUCGAGCAGGUGCGAAAGCAGGUCUUAGUGAUCCGGUGGUUCUGUAUGGAAGGGCCAUCGCUCAACGGAUAAAAGGUACUCCGGGGAUAACAGGCUGAUACCGCCCAAGAGUUCAUAUCGACGGCGGUGUUUGGCACCUCGAUGUCGGCUCAUCUCAUCCUGGGGCUGAAGCCGGUCCCAAGGGUAUGGCUGUUCGCCAUUUAAAGAGGUACGCGAGCUGGGUUUAGAACGUCGUGAGACAGUUCGGUCCCUAUCUGCCGUGGGCGUUGGAGAUUUGAGAGGAGCUGCUCCUAGUACGAGAGGACCGGAGUGGACGAACCUCUGGUGUUCCGGUUGUCACGCCAGUGGCAUUGCCGGGUAGCUACGUUCGGACGGGAUAACCGCUGAAAGCAUCUAAGCGGGAAGCCUCCCUCAAGAUGAGAUCUCCCUGGGAACUUGAUUCCCCUGAAGGGCCGUUGAAGACCACAACGUUGAUAGGCUGGGUGUGGAAGCGUUGUAAGGCGUGAAGCUAACCAGUACUAAUUGCCCGUGAGGCUUGACUAUAUAACACCAAAGCAGU
rnacentral:rRNA from 1 species